UACGGAGGGAGCUAGCGUUGUUCGGAAUUACUGGGUGUAAAGCGCGUGUAGGCGGGAGGCCAAGUCUGCUGUGAAAUCGCCCGGCUCAACUGGGCGGGGUCGGUGGAAACUGGUCACCUGGAGGACGGUAGAGGCGAGUGGAAUUCCCGGUGUAGCGGUGAAAUGCGUAGAUAUCAGGAGGAACACCGGUGGCGAAGGCGCACAUCUGGCCCAAUACUGACGCUAAAGCGCGAAAGCUAGGGGAGCAAACGGG
rnacentral:rRNA from 1 species